rnacentral:rRNA from 1 species
GACGAACGCUGGCGGCGUGCUUAACACAUGCAAGUCGAACGGGCCUUGUCCCCUUUUUUUUUGGGGGUGGGGUUAGUGGCGAACGGGUGAGUAACACGUGAGUAACCUGCCCCUCACUUCUGGAUAACCGCUUGAAAGGGUGGCUAAUACGGGGUGUUCUGGCUUGCUCGCGUGGGUGGGUUUGGAAAGAUUCGACCGGUUUUGGUUGUUUUGGUGGGGGAUGGGCUCGCGGCCUAUCAGCUUGUUGGUGGGGGGAUGGCCUGCCAAGGCUUUGACGGGUAGCCGGCCUGAGAGGGUGGGCGGUCACACUGGGACUGAGACACGGCCCAGACUCCUACGGGAGGCAGCAGUGGGGAAUAUUGCACAAUGGGCGCAAGCCUGAUGCAGCGACGCCGCGUGAGGGAUGGAGGCCUUCGGGCUGUGAACCUCUUUCGCCAGUGAAGAAGGUCCUGCUCUUUGUGGUGGGGUUGACGGUAGCUGGGUUAAUGAAGCGCCGGCUAACUACGUG